UACGUAGGGUGCUAGCGUUGUCCGGAAUUAUUGGGCGUAAAGGGCUCGUAGGCGGUUUGUCGCGUCGGGGGUGAAAACUCAGGGCUUAACCCUGAGCCUGCUUCCGAUACGGGCAGACUAGAGGUAUGCAGGGGAGAACGGAAUUCCUGGUGUAGCGGUGAAAUGCGCAGAUAUCAGGAGGAACACCGGUGGCGAAGGCGGGUCUCUGGGCCGAUACUGACGCUGAGGAGCGAAAGCGUGGGGAGCGAACAGG
rnacentral:rRNA from 1 species